rnacentral:sRNA from 1 species
AAGCUUAACCCCCUAGCCUAGCUAGGGGGAGCUUUGAUACAAAAAUGGGGAAGUCUUGGCUUCCCCCACUU